AGGAUAAUAGUUAAAUUUAACAUUUAAGUUGCAUUUAAAAAAUAUUAAUCAUUGAUUAAUUUAUCUU
rnacentral:tRNA from 1 species